GGAUUUUUUUAACCUAAAGGCGCAAUGAAAGUGAAGGUCGUCCCUAGCGUCGACCGAGGGAGGAUGGCUCGCGUCACGAUGCGAGCCCGCACUCCCGGGGCGUCUCGUGCUCAUUGCGAGCAGAGGCGCACCCAGAGCGUACACGUUGGGACCCGAAAGAUGGUGAACUAUGCCUGGUCAGGACGAAGUCAGGGGAAACCCUGAUGGAGGUCCGUAGCGAUUCUGACGUGCAAAUCGAUCGUCGGAACUGGGUAUAGGGGCGAAAGACUAAUCGAACCAUCUAGUAGCUGGUUCCCUCCGAAGUUUCCCUCAGGAUAGCUGGCACUCGCUUGAGCGAGUCUCAUCUGGUAAAGCGAAUGAUUAGAGGCCUUGGGGCCGAAACGACCUCAACCUAUUCUCAAACUUUAAAUGGGUGAGAUCUCUGGCUUGCUUGAACGUUGAAGCCACGAGAGCAUAUUGCAAUGGAUCANAGUGCCAAGUGGGCCAAUUUUGGUAAGCANAACUGGCGCUGUGGGAUGAACCAAACGCCGAGUUAAGGCGCCUAAGUCGACGCUUAUGGGAUACCAUGAAAGGCGUUGGUUGCUUAAGACAGCAGGACGGUGGCCAUGGAAGUCNGAA
rnacentral:rRNA from 1 species